GGAUGGUGUAGCCUUUGAAGAGCAGAUUUCUGAUGGCAAGAUGGAGGAAGAAGAUAAGACUGGAGGCAUAGAAAGCAGGUAGCAAGCCGUGACAAAGUCAAGGUGAGUGGUCAUGGGCACCAGAAUCAAAUCGGUGACAAAGAGGAAGAAGAGAAGCCUGAUAUGAGGGCUCUUUGGGGAAUGCACUUGACAGAAUCGGACUGGAUGAAGGACGGCCAAAUGGACUUCAGGCCAGGAGGUAAGAGGGAAAGUAACUGAGCGAAGGUUAGUUCUUCAACAUCUUGUCUUCUGUCUCCCGGCCACCAUGUUGCCCUUGUUUUCUUAGAUUCCUUUCCUGUCUUCCUGCUCCUACUUUUUUUUUCACAUUUGACUAUUAAGAAUUGAAAUAUCUCCACUGCCAUCACAUGGGCCCCCAUCACCAAAAACUGUCCCAUAAAUUAUAAGAGCUCAGACCAUAAACAGAAGCUUGUGAGGCAUGGGACCCUGGUGCUCAUCAUUUCUUAGCCAUAAAAAUAAAAUCCAAAACAUUUGCAUGCUGCCUCACAGCCCUGUUCUUUUCACAUGUGCCUCACUCCAGUCUUAAAACCACUCUUGUAGGAAAGACGAAUCUUACUGCUCCCAUUUCAGGAAGAAAGGGACUGAGACUGAGUCUCCAGCCCAUCCUUGGGGAAGCAGUAUGGAGCAGCCUAGGAAGCCGGUCCCAACGAUCCCAGACUGGUGUCCUACUGCCCCUGUGAUGUUAGGCCUGUGACACAGACUUUCAAAGUCUCAAUUUCCUUCUCUGAAAAUGGGGAACACAAAAGGACCUGCCUCCUGAGAUUGCUAUCCAGGCUAAAGGAAGUAAUGAGCAGAAAGCACUUGGCCCACACCUGGUGAAGUCUUAAUAUAUGCUUGCUAUUGCUUUUACAGUUCUUCUAGCUCCAGAGGCCCUCUACCACAGUGUCCCCCCACUUCUGGGAGAAGAGACACUCUUUCAGAAAGAUUUAGUCUGCCACUGGAUGAAUUUCUGCUUGCCAACUAAAGAAAAAUGCUGGAAAGAAAUGACACGGCAGCCCUCUCCACACCCGCUCGCUUUGCAAUUGGGCAUUACUUGGAGACCCAAUGUGAACCCUAGAAUAGAAAUCUCACAGCUGGAGCUGAAUUCAAUGGAAAGGAACACACUCUUAGGACAAGAAGAAAUCGAUUUUAAUGGGUACGGGCAUGGUGUCUAUACCAAGACUGCCCGGAUCCAAAUUUAGCUCAACCCGUUGCUAUUUGCACAAACUUGGGAAAGUCUCCUUCUUGCCCCAGUGGCCACAUUUGGGAAAUGAAGGUAAGAAAGGCAUUUAUGUCACAGGGUGGCUUGGGAGAAUGGAUGACAAUGUUUGCAAAGUGCUCAACACAGGCCUGAGAGCCAAGAACAAAAUUAUGGAGCUGCUAUCAGUGUAAGAACCAUGGUCUUAGAGGUCUUGGCAAACUUCUGGCAAACAAGAAAUUGGGUGACAGCUGGUCCUCCUGAAGUGGUUGUCAGGAUUGGCCCAAUUUCUACCCCUCUAAUCAGAAAAGCAGACUGUCAGGAUGGGAGUCCCAAGAUCAGGGAAGAGUGCCAUCACCGAGUCUGGCAAACAAGCCAGAGGAGCUCUGAGUCUUUCUCCCAGGGACUACCUCUGGUCCCCCUCCCACAGGGAGGGUGAGUGAUUAUUGGGGAAGAUAGAAGCCAUUCCAGCAUCAUAGGGCAUAUUGAUGCUGAGGAACUGUUUCCAUGCUUACUCGCUCACACAUCCAUCCGUCCAUCCAUCCACCCAUCCAAUCAUCCAUCCAUCAAAGACCUUCGCUUGAUCUGUGUCUGGUAGGCUGGGUGCUAAAUUCUUCAUACAGAACAGGCAUUUAACAAAACUUAGAGCCUAGUGGCAGAGACAUGUUUAAAACAUAAUCAGUAUUUAAUUUAAAAAUUGUGUAAUUUUUAUGGUUUAUUCCUAAUGUAGGAUCCUAUGAUAAGAAAUAAUGGGGGACCAACUUCACAUUGGGCUCAGGGGGCACCCUAUUGAUGAGUUAGCAGAAAUGACCCCAGGCAACUGGAGAUUUGAACUUGUGCUCCCUCAUGUCUCAGGUCAACAACCUCAUCGCACCAGCUCUGGCCCUCCUUGACUUUGGUCUUGUAAAACUACCACCUCUUCUGGUUGUGCAACACCCUCCAAUACAUAGUUUCACCCUGGGAAUAAGCAUUAACUUAGUGCAAGGACUUCAUUCUCUAAGGACAGAACUAGGGCCCGUUGAGAGCAACAGGUGCUUGUCCAUAGUCAUACGGCAGGUUGGGUUGGGAACCAGCUCCCGAGGCUGGGUCAGUGCUCGCCCCUUCCCCCUCAUCACCGAGUGCUCACACCCUGACCCCUCUGACCUCUGACUUCUUCCCAAGGAAAGAAUGAUGAGAGCAAAUGUCUCUUGGAGAAAAAUGCCUCUUAGAGAAAUUCCUUUUGAAAUAGCCGCACUGUUGGAGAAAAACUCAGGUCCUUCUUGGAGAUCCCUGAUCUAUUCUGAGGUUCUUCUAGGACCUCACCAUUAAGAAAUAAUAAAAGAUAAAAUGAAAUAUAAGGAAAUAAAA
rnacentral:lncRNA from 1 species